rnacentral:rRNA from 1 species
UACGUAGGGUGCAAGCGUUAAUCGGAAUUACUGGGCGAAAGCGUGCGCAGGCGGUGAUGUAAGACAGAUGUGAAAUCCCCGAGCUCAACUUGGGAACUGCAUUUGUGACUGCAUCGCUGGAGUGCGGCAGAGGGGGAUGGAAUUCCGCGUGUAGCAGUGAAAUGCGUAGAUAUGCGGAGGAACACCGAUGGCGAAGGCAAUCCCCGUGGGCCUGCACUGACGCUCAUGCACGAAAGCGUGGGGAGCAAACAGG